rnacentral:rRNA from 1 species
AUUGAACGCUGGCGGCAGGCCUAACACAUGCAAGUCGAGCGGAAGAACAGUGCUUGCUUCUGGAUUCAGCUGCGGACGGGUGGGUAAGUCCUGGAAAUCUGCCUGUUUACUUUUUAGAAGGGCAUAAAGCGGGGGCACAUACGCCAUUACUGCUUACGACGUAAGGGUGGGAGCUUGGGAUCUUCCGCCAUUGCGCGAUCCGAUGUCGGAUUAGCUAGUUGGUGGGGUAAAGGCCUACCAAGGCGACGAUCCGUAGCUGGUCUGAGAGGAUGAUCAGCCACACUGGAACUGAGACACGGUCCAGACUCCUACGGGAGGCAGCAGUGGGGAAUAUUGGACAAUGGGCGCAAGCCUGAUCCAGCCAUGCCGCGUGUGUGAAGAAGGUCUUCGGAUUGUAAAGCCCUUUUAGUUGGGAAGAAAAGCAGUAGGUUAAUACCUCGCUGUUUUGACGGUACCCAAAGAAUAAGCACCGGCUAACUUCGUG